UACGUAGGGUGCAAGCGUUGUCCGGAAUUAUUGGGCGUAAAGAGCUCGUAGGCGGUUCGUCGCGUCGGCUGUGAAAACCCGAGGCUCAACCUCGGGCCUGCAGUCGAUACGGGCGGACUGGAGUUCGGCAGGGGAGACUGGAAUUCCUGGUGUAGCGGUGAAAUGCGCAGAUAUCGGGAGGAACACCAGUGGCGAAGGCGGCGACCUGGGCCAAUAUUGACGCUAAGGUGCGAAAGCGUGGGGAGCAAACAGG
rnacentral:rRNA from 1 species